rnacentral:rRNA from 1 species
UAGCGAUAGCUUGACACAUGCAAGUCGAGGGGCAGCACAAGGUAGCUUGCUAUCUGGGUGGCGACCGGCGCACGGGUGCGUAACGCGUAUGCAACUUGCCCUAUACAGGAGGAUAACCCGUCGAAAGACGGACUAAUACUGCGUAUGCUCACAACUUGGCAUCAAGAAGUGAGGAAAGAAAUUCGGUAUAGGAUAGGCAUGCGUCCCAUUAGCUUGUUGGUGAGGUAACGGCUCACCAAGGCAACGAUGGGUAGGGGAACUGAGAGGUUUAUCCCCCACACUGGUACUGAGACACGGACCAGACUCCUACGGGAGGCAGCAGUGAGGAAUAUUGGUCAAUGGGCAAGAGCCUGAACCAGCCAAGUCGCGUGAAGGAUGACUGUCUUAUGGAUUGUAAACUUCUUUUAUACGGGAAUAACAAGAGUCACGUGUGACUCCCUGCAUGUACCGUAUGAAUAAGCAUCGGCUAACUCCGUGCCAGCAGCCGCGGUAAUACGGAGGAUGCGAGCGUUAUCCGGAUUUAUUGGGUUUAAAGGGUGCGUAGGCGGUUUGUUAAGUCAGCGGUGAAAUCUAGAGGCUCGACCUCGAAACUGCCGUUGAAACUGGCGAACUUGAGUGUAGAUGAGGUAGGCGGAAUUCGUGGUGUAGCGGUGAAAUGCAUAGAUAUCACGAGGAACUCCAAUUGCGAAGGCAGCUUACUAAGGUACAACUGACGCUGAAGCACGAAAGCGUGGGUAUCAAACAGGAUUAGAUACCCUGGUAGUCCACGCAGUAAACGAUGAUAACUGGGCGUAUGCGAUAUACAGUAUGCUCCUAAGCGAAAGCGUUAAGUUAUCCACCUGGG